GCGAAUAUAGUUUAAAGGUAGAACAACAAUUUGUGGCAUUGUUGAUAUGGGUUCAAUUCCCAUUAUUCGCC
rnacentral:tRNA from 7 species